GCCUCAACCCUCCCCAGGCUCCUUUAACUUACAAAAGAGAUGCAGCGGAAUACGGUGAAGAGUGGGGGCUCUGAAGCCAUCCCUGCUCUUCACUAGCUGUGAGCCGUGUAACCUCAGACAAGCGAUUUAAUCACGCUCAGUUUCCUCAUUGAGAAAACGGGGCUAAUGGUACCCAAGUGAUGGAGCUUUUGGGAGGAGUGAGGGUUACCGGAGAUGACAAGACUUUGAACCAUAUGUGGGGCCAUGUCAGGUGUUCCACAAGUGUGAGCACGUGUUGUUAUUCCCAUAUCUGUGCAGUUCAGUAUGGAAACCUCGGGCCCCCCCUCCAACAGCAGGGAGCAUCGCACGGGGAAUCAGGGCCAGGCAGAUAGAUCGCCCGCAUGCGGUGGUGCACCGAGAAACGGAGGGAGCUAAAAAUAGACCUCGGAAGUCCUGAAGCUACAGCGAUCUCAACACCACUGCUGAUUUAUGCCGACAUCAGCUUCAUGAGGUGCGCUCUCUGGGGGAUUCAGAACGGUAGCCCUGUCAAAAACGCUCAGGGGGUUCCCGGGGAGACAGUGAGCCGUCGAGGAAGCCGCAACCGAAGGCCCUCCAUUAGGUAAACCGCUGGGCUGGGGGGCUUUCCACUCGGCGCAGGCCCUUGGCGGGGGGCCCUGGGGGGCUGAGGGGCGCCCUGUUCUUCCCUCCGGCCUCAUUUCCCCCCGCCUGAGGCCUUAGUCCCUCGGCAGAAGUUUUCCUGAGGGGUCGGCGGCGGGAGGGUCGUACAACCAAGAGAUGGAAGAGCCCCGGCCUCGGGGUCCGUGUUCCCGGGACCCCAACGGGCCGGCCCAGCCCCCCGAGGCCCUCGCGAGGCGCCUCCAGCCUCCUCCUCUGCCCCGCGCUGCGGUGAGAAGCGCGGACGCCCUGGACGCCCGUGCUCGACCCUUCUGCACCUGCCGCGAAGCUCUCGGCAGUGCUGAGUUCCCGGCCUCCGAAACCUAACCCAGAUCCCCUCGCAGGAGUCUCGUGAGGCCUCACGGCCACCUCUCUCUCCUGGAGGGCUGGGGCAUCCUCGCCUCCUCCUCCCUGUCCUUCUGGGGGCGCUCCAGGCUCUGUUCCUGCAGCAGUCUUUUUUUUUUAAAAAGUCGCCCGGGUCAAGGGCGCGGCUCCCCCACGAGGCUGCCAAGGGGCCUGCUGAGCUCGGAGUGAAGCCUUGGCCCCCUUAGCCGCACAGAGCCCCGGCGCUUUGCUCCCCGGCCGCCCCUGCCCCCGCACGCUCGCCGCGGUCGUUCCCUUUGGACACACCAGGCUGGUGGCAGCCUCGGCCUCUUAGCCCCUGCUGGUCCCCCGGCCUUGGGGCUGUGUCCCCCCGCCCCGGCCUUCUCCUCUAGGCUCUGGAAGAGGGUACCUGCAGCCCACCGGCCACGUCAGACUCCCCAACUAUGUAUGGCCUGCGGGAGAAGAAUGGAGUAUAUAUUUUUAAAUGGUUGGGGGAGAAAUCAGAAGAUUAUUCGUGGCAUAUGAAAAUUGGGUGAAUUUCACAUUUCAGUGCCUGUGAAUAAAGUUUUAUUUCAAAACAGCCCUGUUUGCGUAGUACCUAUUGCUGCAAGAGCAGAGUUGAGUCCUUUCGACAGUCAGUCUGGCCAGCAAAGCUUAAAUAUUGACUCCUUGGCAUUUUAUAGAAGGAGUUUGCCAAUCCCAUGAUCUAGAGUACACGUAUUUAUGUAUCCGUACAAACUACUGGGUUGUGGUAAAUGUUUAACAACUGGUUCUCUGGGGGGCGAAUGUAUGUGUGGUUCAAUAUAUUCCAUGUAUGUGUGUAUGUGUGUAUAGUUUAUUCUAAAUUUUACUGGCAUUUCUCCAUCACUUAAGUCUAGAAGACAGUCAAUAAAACAUUUAAGUCCUGGUUUGUAGUGUUUGCUGACUUUCUUUG
ensembl:lincRNA